rnacentral:rRNA from 1 species
GAUGAACGCUGGCGGCGUGCCUAAUACAUGCAAGUCGAGCGAACAGACGAGGAGCUUGCUCCUCUGACGUUAGCGGCGGACGGGUGAGUAACACGUGGAUAACCUACCUAUAAGACUGGGAUAACUUCGGGAAACCGGAGCUAAUACCGGAUAAUAUAUUGAACCGCAUGGUUCAAUAGUGAAAGACGGUUUUGCUGUCACUUAUAGAUGGAUCCGCGCCGCAUUAGCUAGUUGGUAAGGUAACGGCUUACCAAGGCAACGAUGCGUAGCCGACCUGAGAGGGUGAUCGGCCACACUGGAACUGAGACACGGUCCAGACUCCUACGGGAGGCAGCAGUAGGGAAUCUUCCGCAAUGGGCGAAAGCCUGACGGAGCAACGCCGCGUGAGAGAUGAAGGUCUUCGGAUCGUAAAACUCUGUUAUUAGGGAAGAACAAAUGUGUAAGUAACUAUGCACGUCUUGACGGUACCUAAUCAGGAAGCCACGGCUAACUACGUG